UUACCUGGUUUGAUCCUGCCAGUAGUCAUAUGCUUGUCUCAAAGAUUAAGCCAUGCAUGUCUAAGUACAGGCCGAAACAAGGCGAAACCGCGAAUGGCUCAUUAAAUCAGUUAUGGUUCAUUGGAUCUUACCUUGUUUUACUUGGAUAACUGUGGUAAUUCUAGAGCUAAUACGUGAUACCCCAGCUCCGACCGCAAGGAAAGAGCGCUUUUAUUAGAUCAAAACCAAUCGGGCUUCGGUCCGUUCUCACUGUGGUGACUCUGAAUAACUUUGAGCUGAGCGCAUGGUCUUCGAACCGGCGCCAUAUCCUUCAAGUGUCUGCCUUAUCAGCUUUCGAUUGUAGGUUAUGCGCCUACAAUGGCUAUAACGGGUAACGGGGAAUCAGGGUUCGAUUCCGGAGAGGGAGCCUGAGAAACGGCUACCACAUCUAAGGAAGGCAGCAGGCACGCAAAUUACCCACUCCCGGCCCGGGGAGGUAGUGACGAAAAAUAACGAUGCGGGACUCUUCCGAGGCCUCGCAAUCGGAAUGAGCACACUUUAAAUCCUUUAACGAGGAUCUAUUGGAGGGCAAGUCUGGUGCCAGCAGCCGCGGUAAUUCCAGCUCCAAUAGCGUAUAUUAAAGUUGCUGCGGUUAAAAAGCUCGUAGUUGGAUCUCAGUUCCGGACCGACGGUUCACCGCCCGGUGCUUACUGUCGGCUUCCGAACAGCCGCACGCCGGCUCGGCCAGGGUGCUCUUCAUCGAGUGUCCUGGUUUCGGCCGGCACGUUUACUUUGAAAAAAUUAGAGUGCUCAGCGCAGGCUGCAACGCCUGAAUAAUCUGUGCAUGGAAUAAUGGAAUAGGACCUCGGUUCUAUUUUGUUGGUUUUCGGAACCCGAGGUAAUGAUUAAUAGGAACUGUCGGGGGCAUUCGUAUUGCGACGUUAGAGGUGAAAUUCUUGGAUCGUCGCAAGACGGACUACUGCGAAAGCAUUUGCCAAGAAUGUUUUCAUUAAUCAAGAACGAAAGUUAGAGGUUCGAAGGCGAUCAGAUACCGCCCUAGUUCUAACCAUAAACGAUGCCAACCAGCGAUCCGCCGGCGUUAUUCCCAUGACUCGGCGGGCAGCUUCCGGGAAACCAAAGUCUCUGGGUUCCGGGGGAAGUAUGGUUGCAAAGCUGAAACUUAAAGGAAUUGACGGAAGGGCACCACCAGGAGUGGAGCCUGCGGCUUAAUUUGACUCAACACGGGGAACCUCACCAGGCCCGGACACCGGUAGGAGGGACAGAUUGAGAGCUCUUUCUCGAUUCGGUGGGUGGUGGUGCAUGGCCGUU
rnacentral:rRNA from 1 species